rnacentral:lncRNA from 1 species
AGGAAUUUCGACAGUAAGUAAAAAUAAUGGACAAGGAAAACGACAGCAAAAGGGAGAAGAGGAGAAGAGAAAACUGAAAAUUUUAUAUUUAAGGAAAAGAAAAAGGAAAAAAAGAUAUGAACAAAAUUAUUCGAUCAGAAUCCCGAUAACCCCAAAAUCCCUUAAUUCACUCUUAAAUUUUCUCCAUAAAAUUUCCACUACCCAAUUGGGAUAAUUUGAAACUCCUCCAUCCCUUAUUUUUCUCCCCAAAUCACUCAAACACCUCCAAAAACAGUCCACCACUUCCUCUCAAC